rnacentral:rRNA from 1 species
UACAGAGGGGGCAAGCGUUGUUCGGAAUUACUGGGCGUAAAGGGCGCGUAGGCGGCCUUCUAAGUCGAACGUGAAAUCCCCGGGCUCAACCCGGGAACUGCGUCCGAUACUGGAAGGCUUGAAUCCGGGAGAGGGAUGCGGAAUUCCAGGUGUAGCGGUGAAAUGCGUAGAUAUUCGCAAGAACACCAGUGGCGAAGGCGGCCAUCUGGACCGGUACUGACGCUGAGGCGCGAAAGCGUGGGGAGCAAACAGG